CCAAAACUCCCACCCCCAACACACCCCUACCCCGCCGCCGACGCCCCAUCCCCACCACACCCCUCCCCGCCGCCGACGCCCCAUCCCCACCACUGCCUGUCCUCCGUCGCCGCCCUUGCUGUUCGCCGCCAUUAAAGGCUUGAAAGCAACCUCUGCUCUGAAAGCAACUUCAGCUAUCUGGAAUCAGCACAUUCAUAAAAGCAUAUUCAGGUUUUUGUAACAGCUUUUGGUUCAUGUUUUUAGACUGCAUAUUCAGAAAUGUGUUAAAGGCGAAAGCUAGUAUAAUUUAACUAAUACAGAGUUGCUGAUUAUUUUCCAUCGUUCAUGUUGAUUGUAGCACAAUACUGCUAAUACAGAGUUGUUGAUUAUGGAGAAAGGGGUGAAAUAGGUUGUGACUACUGCUGCUGAUACAGUGUUGCUGGAUUUCUUGACAUAGAACGCUCGAGAGGGGUCAGGAAGUACCUCAAGAUGAAGUCUUCAAUAUUACUCACACGAGGAGUCGAAGAACGCUGAUGGUACAGACCAAUGGAUUGAGCCAAGGGCUUAGCAAACCUAUACCGAGUAUCAAUAACACAAGUUGGAAUAUUGUGCCAGUCAGCCAGCCGUAGUUCAUGGUCUUGUUGAUGAGGAUAGUGGGGAGGAUUCAGAUCAUGUCUCUAACACCCAAUGUUGACUUUUUUGAUUCGUAUACUUUUGGACUCUAAUAUUGCUAUGUUUUCUUGGAUAUGUAUAUGAUAUUUGAUUGUAGUUUUAAUUCGAAUUAGAUGUACUUUUGAAGGUGAAUUUGAUUGUAGAAAGUAGUUUAUGGUUGUUUAACUU